AUGUGUGAGCCAGAUUGCUUCCGAAAAAAAACUAGGAAGGACUUGGGGCCUGGGGCUCCCAGAGACUUUGCUCAGUGUCCUCAGACUGUCCCUGGAACUGGGAGUCUAGAUUCACCUCUGAUCCUUUCUGGUUCUCUGCUUCUCUUUGGGUGCGGAUGCCACAUACCUCCCUACCAGCCUGUGACUGAUGGGGAGUGGGUACCAGGCCCCCUCGCUCUGGGACAGGGGGUAAAAGUCUACCUCCAACAGGUUACUCUCUUUUUCUGCAGCUUCCAGGAUGAGUAUGGAGACAAACAAGGCAUGAGGCGCCCUGGAGAAAUCGUGUGUCCAUCAGCAUCUCUCUUCGGCCCAUUCUGGCUCCAGGAGCUGGAUGGUGGAGCCAGAUGAUGGAGCCAGGAUUGGGCAACAACAUACAUUCGAGGCAUCCACCUUUCCUGGACCCCUUUCAACUUCCCCAGGUAUUUCUGGGAGAGCCCAGAGAUGUCACACAUGAACUCUCACGGCCUAUGAAUGAAGAACCUUCUGCUGGAGUGAGGGGCUGCGGAGGGAGGGAGGACGAAAAAUGAGGAUGGGAACGCGACCUAUACCUGCAACCUCUAAGAAGUUGUGAACAGUUGUGCCAAGGGGGCGGUGUCCCCUCCCACUGCGCAUCUUCCGCUGCGCAGGUGCUACUGCGCAUCUUCUAGUGCGCAUGUGCCACGGACGCUUUCUGAGCCCGCGUUUUCCAGAGCCCGCGUUUUCCAGAGCCCGCGUUCCCGUGAACCCAAGUCUAGCUUCAGGCCGGGGUCUCUUCCUAGGCCUCCUACCUGAGUCUGUGAUGCAGGUUUGAGCAUCAGUAUCUGAGACUGACACCAUCUGUCCGCGAUUCUAAGACGCCUCCAGCCCUCACAAGAGCAGCUCUCCUCUGCAAGCUGCCUGAGAAAAAAAGGAAGGAAAAAACCUGAAACCAAGAACUCAUCCAGCCGCCAGUACCUACCAUCAUCCCCAAACAGAAGUUUUUCAGGGCUCAGGUCUGGCUGCCCUGCAUUCCAGGCUUUUCCAGGCUUUUCCCACCUGGCUUCCCCACCCCAGGCGAUGCUGGUAAGGAGAAACCUUUGAAAUAGAUGAGUGCUUUGCAUGAGAAUUGAUAAGUAAUUUAACCUCAGUACAAACUGCUUGUGGAGGAAGCGGUAUCCCUGAAAUAAUUUUAAGGCCAGUGCAUAAAACUCUUAGGUAAAAAUACCUCAGCUAAUGGUUAUUGAUCUUCUGAAAUCACGUUCUUAAUUUUGAAGAUAGUUGAAAGAAGGGGGGAACACCACAAAGAGAGUUGGCAAAUUUCAAACUGCAUGUUGAAUUUUCACACGAUUUAGGCCAAAACGCUCUGCAAUUUGUAGAUCUGUAAAGGUUAAAAUUCCUCAGACCACAUGUUUUCUUGAGCUGCAGAAUCAUGGCCAGGGG
rnacentral:lncRNA from 1 species